AUUGAACGCUGGCGGCAGGCUUAACACAUGCAAGUCGAGCGGGGUGAUGGUGCUUGCACUAUCACUUAGCGGCGGACGGGUGAGUAAUGCUUAGGAAUCUGCCUAUUAGUGGGGGACAACAUCUCGAAAGGGAUGCUAAUACCGCAUACGUCCUACGGGAGAAAGUAGGGGAUCACUUGUGACCUUGCGCUAAUAGAUGGGCCUAAGUCGGAUUAGCUAGUUGGGGGGGUAAAGGCCUACCAAGGCGACGAUCUGUAGCGGGUCUGAGAGGAUGAGCCGCCACACUGGGACUGAGACACGGCCCAGACUCCUACGGGAGGCAGCAGUGGGGAAUAUUGGACAAUGGGGGGAACCCUGAUCCAGCCAUGCCGCGUGUGUGAAGAAGGCCUUAUGGUUGUAAAGCACUUUAAGCGAGGAGGAGGCUCUUUUGGUUAAUACCCAAGAUGAGUGGACGUUACUCGCAGAAUAAGCACCGGCUAACCCUGUGCCAGCAGCCGCCGUAA
rnacentral:rRNA from 1 species